rnacentral:rRNA from 1 species
UGCAGUCGAACGCGGUGGCCCAUCUGAUUGGACGUGCUUGCCGAACUUGACGUUGGUUUACCRGCGAGUGGCGGACGGGUGARUAACACGUAUGUAACCUGCCCCAAAGCGGGGGAUAACAUUUGGAAACAGAUGCUAAUACCGCAUAACAAKUUGAAUCUYAUGAUUCAMUAUUAAAAGAUGGCUUCGGCUAUCACUUUGGGAUGGACCUGCGGCGCAUUAGCUUGUUGGUAGGGUAACGGCCUACCAAGGCUGUGAUGCGUAGCCGAGUUGAGAGACUGAUCGGCCACAAUGGAACUGAGACACGGUCCAUACUCCUACGGGAGGCAGCAGUAGGGAAUCUUCCACAAUGGGCGCAAGCCUGAUGGAGCAACACCGCGUGAGUGAAGAAGGGUUUCGGCUCGUAAAGCUCUGUUGUUAGAGAAGAACGUGCGUGAGAGUAACUGUUCACGCAGUGACGGUAUCUAACCAGAAAGUCACGGCUAACUACGUGCCAGCAGCCGCGGUAAUACGUAGGUGGCAAGCGUUAUCCGGAUUUAUUGGGCGUAAAGCGAGCGCAGGCGGUUUGAUAAGUCUGAUGUGAAAGCCUUUGGCUUGACCAAAGAAGUGCAUCGGAAACUGUCAGACUUGAGUGCAGAAGAGGACAGUGGAACUCCAUGUGUAGCGGUGGAAUGCGUAGAUAUAUGGAAGAACACCAGUGGCGAAGGCGGCUGUCUGGUCUGCAACUGACGCUGAGGCUCGAAAGCAUGGGUAGCGAACAGGAUUAGAUACCCUGGUAGUCCAUGCCGUAAACGAUGAGUGCUAGGUUGUUGGGAGGGCUUCCGCCCUUCAGUGCCGCAGCUAACGCAUUAAGCACUCCGCCUGGGGAGUACGACCGCAAGGUUGAAACUCAAAGGAAUUGACGGGGGCCCGCACAAGCGGUGGAGCAUGUGGUUUAAUUCGAAGCUACGCGAAGAACCUUACCAGGUCUUGACAUCUUGCGCCAACCCUAGAGAUAGG